rnacentral:lncRNA from 1 species
CGAGAGACGCCGUGCUCUGGGCGGCCGUAACAGACGGGCCCGGCCGAAACGUGCGGCACAAAGCCUAGAAAGAGCUGCAAAAGCGCGCUAAUUAGAGGUAAUGGAAAGGCAAGCCGCAUAUGAUCUUUUAUUUUCUUUCUUACAAAAAAGACUGGUGAAGGGGAUAGAGUUACUGGGACUUUUAGCUUAUGGUUACGAAAAGGGGACUAAUGGCUAUGCUGGAGGGAUUUUCCUUUUUCUCCUUACAGUUUACAACUUAACGGGAUGGCGUGAAUUCGGUGAUUUAUCAUGGGAGAGCGAUAAACCUGUCGAGACGCUGAGCGAGCUAUGGGGGGAGAGCCGGCACCGCAGGGAGAAGCCACGCCACGCGCCGAGAAUCGAGCCGAGCCGCGGGAGCCGACAGCAGCCGCGCCGCGCCCCGCGCGGAGGAAGCUGCCAAGGCUGCAGCGCAGACAGAGCGCGCACCGCACCCAGCAGCACCAGCAGCGCCGCGGGCGUGCCGAGCCUGGCCCCAGCGGGAGCCGAGCGGAGCCGCCGCUGCGCCGUGAGACCAGAAGUUUUUUUUCGCCCGCUCCGACAUCGCAGGGAGCUGAGCACCGCGGGGGGAGCGGGGCCGCCGCGGGGGAAGCGGCCGGGCCCCGCAGCCAGCGCCAAGCAGCCACCACCAGCACCCCAGCGCAGAAGAAGCCGCGCCGCGCCGAGGUCAGCAUGGGGGGGCUCGAUCCCCCUUCCGACACGCACGCCGCGAGACCAAAUUAACUCUUAGUAGCUCUGCUCUAAUUUUAAGCUACUUAAAUCUGUUAUCUUGGUUUAUAUGUAUUUCACACUCAUUCUCAUAAGCUUUGGGUUUUCUUUUUUCCUCUCCUGCCCAGACUAGUAGUAAGCCAGGUGAGAGAAGGCUGCUACUGUUCUGAAGUGGUUGAUUUAGCUUGUUGAUUGAAAACUUAGGUUUGCAGUUUUGUGGUUUCUUAGCUAUGAGGGACCCAGGGCUGGAGUGCACUGGGCUAGAGCUCCUAGACUCUCUUUUUCUCUUGUCUGUGCAGUUUCUGUUCUUGCCAUGUCUGUGCUUGGCUGCAGGUAAUCUGGAGCCUAAAAUAAGAGCCUGCAGUGGCUUAGGCUGCUUUAGCUUCAUUCUCUUAACUUUCAGUUAUCCUUUUUGGUAUGCAAUGUAGCUUUGCUGUUCCCUGAAAGCUAAAUUAGGAGUAGUACACAUGUUGAAUGGAGAAAAAUAGUUUUGGUAUAGAUUAAAAGUUUUACUGAAUUACUGAUGUAGAAGGUAACACAUAAACACAAACUUUAAAUAGUGUAUGUGUUUUAAAGAUUUGAGCUAAAAAAUGUCUAUUUUGCACAAGGAAAACAUCUGU